GCUGUCGUCAGCUCGUGUUGUGAAAUGUUGGGUUAAGUCCCGCAACGAGCGCAACCCUUAUCCUUUGUUGCCAGCACGUAAUGGUGGGAACUCAAGGGAGACUGCCGGUGACAAACCGGAGGAAGGUGGGGAUGACGUCAAGUCAUCAUGGCCCUUACGAGUAGGGCUACACACGUGCUACAAUGGCAGAUACAAAGUGAAGCGAACUCGCGAGAGCAAGCGGACCACAUAAAGUCUGUCGUAGUCCGGAUUGGAGUCUGCAACUCGACUCCAUGAAGUCGGAAUCGCUAGUAAUCGUAGAUCAGAAUGCUACGGUGAAUACGUUCCCGGGCCUUGUACACACCGCCCGUCACACCAUGGGAGUGGGUUGCAAAAGAAGUAGGUAGCUUAACCUUCGGGAGGGCGCUUACCACUUUGUGAUUCAUGACUGGGGUGAAGUCGUAACAAGGUAACCGUAGGGGAACCUGCGGUUGGAUCACCUCCUUA
rnacentral:rRNA from 1 species